AGUCAGUGUUAGUUGCGCAAAAGCGACAGUGCGAUCAUCACAAGGAAACGUUUGUUCGAGCUCAACUCUCAGGAAAUAGUUAGUAUGUUCACGGUCAAACCUUUGGAGUCGCCUUUGGCCAAAGCUGUGGAGGCACCGAUGCACGGCAGCACGGUUGAGGUGCACCUGAACGAUGGCAGCUAUCUUCCGACCGGCGAAAAGCCUCGCAAACCAACGCACUGCGUACUGACGCCGAAGUUUGUUACGCAAGCGGAACCCAUUCACCACUUGACGGUGUACGAGGAUGACGUUUGGAUAUUGAGCUUCCCCAAGUGUGGAACUACCUGGACGCAGGAGAUGGUGUGGCUGAUCAGCCACGAUCUGGACUACCGGACAGCGUCCGAGGUGAACCUGCUCGAUCGUUCGGUAUUCCUCGAGUUUUCUGCCUUCGUGCUUAAUUACCCCGGCGAUACGAUCGAGCAGGUGGAAAAGGCAACCCGUCCGCGACACAUCCAGUGCCAUCUGCCGAUCGCACUACUGCCCAAACAGAUCUGGACCGUACGGCCGAAGCUCAUCUACUGUGCCCGCAAUCCGAAGGAUGCUUCCGUAAGCUUUUUCCACCACUAUCGCCAUCUGCACGGUUAUCGCGGGACCAUGCCGGACUUUCUCGAUGCCCUCCUAACCGAUCAGAUACUGUUCGGACCGCAGAUACCGCAUACGCUCGACUAUUGGAACGUUCGGCGAGAGAUGAACAUAUUGUUUCUUCACUUUGAAGAGAUGAAAACGAACAUGGGUGAUGUACUACGUCGUGUUUGCAGAUACUUUGGUAAAUCGUACUCCGACCAACAGCUGGCCACAUUGGAAAAUCAUCUCUCGUUCGACGUUAUGAAGAACAACAAAUCUGCAAACAACUCAUGCGUUUUGGAGCUGGUAGAAUCACUCUCCGGCAAAAAGGUGGAGAAUUUUCAAUUUAUGCGCAAAGGAAAGAUCGGUUCACAUACUGAAGAAUUGUCUGAAGAGUACAUAAAACGGUUUGAGGAAUACAUCACGAAACAUCUUGAAGGAAGCGAUUUUAGAUUCAAAUAGGUAUCCAAUUGGUUUCAAUCAGUAUAGGAAAUAGGAUUCCUAAUCAGAUAGUUUCUUCUGCGUAAGCAAUUCACUAUCCAGUUAUUAAGUGAUAGCUGGGAUGACGAUAACCACGAGCUUUGUAAUGUAGUAAACGAUGAAAAUAAUAAAACAAAAUGAAAUGUUUUGAAAAGAAAUGAAGUAAAAAAUCUUGCAAAUAAAUGGCACUCAAUCUGGCAGCACUGGACGCUACAGCGACAUGCCACCCUCAACCCCGUAACUGGAAUCGCUCGCACCCAUACAACGAUCAUGCCGCUGAAGGUUGUGAUACGAAAGCAGUAGAUAGAGAGAACGCGUUAAAAACAAGACCCUUCCCCGUUUGCUCGCCAUUCGACCGCGUAUUGUCCACGAUGACGUUCGAGUACAUCGACAUCGAAGAUCCCGUCUUUAAGGCUACCUGUCGCGAACGUAACGAGGAAGACUACGUGCUCGUGCGCUGCAACGACUACGCCAACGUACCGAUCAACCUUCCCAACUGGACGCCGGACCCGGUCUGCCUGUCGCGGCGCUUCGAGCAGAUAGGACAAACGAUCAAGGACAUGGAAGUGCGACCGGAUGACGUGUGGAUCGUAACGUACCCCAAGAGCGGAACCACCUGGACCCAGGAGCUGAUCUGGCUCGUCUGCAAUGGGCUCGACUUUCAGCAGGCAAAGGACGUCCCGCUUGAUGCACGCUUUCCCUUCAUUGAGCAAGUCUACCUCCACCGACACGAUCCCUCCGCCGAAGCAUUUCAAUCGAUCGACCUCCUCUUCCACAGCCUCUCCGGACUGCGCGACCUUCCGGAACCGUUCAAUCCGUUGCGCGAUGCACUCGCAAUGUCCUCGCCGCGCUUUAUCAAAACACACCUGCCGCCAGCCUUCCUACCGAGCGCACUGUGGACCGUUCGCCCCAAGCUUGUGUACGUGCGCCGGAAUCCCAAAUCGGUUGCCGUCUCCUACUACCACCAUUCCGUCUCCCUGCACUGCUACCGGGGUACGCUGGACCAGUUCGUGCGCUCGAUGAUGAACGAGCUGGUGUACUAUUCACCGUACCACAAGCAUCUGAUCGAGUACAGUGAGCUGCGCUACCCGAACAUGCUAUCGCUGUGCUUCGAGGACAUGAAGCGAGAUCUGCCCGGUGCCAUUCGGCAGGUUUGCCGCUUUUUCGACAAAUCGUACACGGAGGAGCAGCUGGCAGCGCUCGCCCACCAUCUUGACUUUGGCCAGAUGCGUCAAAAUACGGCCGUCAAUCGCAGACAGUGGGUCGAGUACAAUCUCCAGCAAACGAACCGGCCGGACCGGGUGAACGACAACGACAUGCAGUUCAUCCGGCGCGGUGAGACGGACGGCUGGAAGCGGGAGCUGUCGGGCGAGCUGAUCGAGGCGCUCGAUCACUGGACGUUGGACAGGGUCCCCAAGGAUAGCAAAUAUGCGGCCCUGUUUCAAUGACUUUGAAGGGAUAAACAUAUGUAAAAAAUCAAUUCUAAAUUAUAAUUGGCCAAACAUUUUAAAUAAAUCACAUUAAACCUAAAAAAUCCAUAAAAAAA